rnacentral:miRNA from 1 species
UACUGGAGUUCUCAACAGC